rnacentral:rRNA from 2 species
AAAACGACUCUCGACAACGGAUAUCUCGGCUCUCGCAUCGAUGAAGAACGUAGCGAAAUGCGAUACUUGGUGUGAAUUGCAGAAUCCCGUGAACCAUCGAGUCUUUGAACGCAAGUUGCGCCCGAAGCCUUCCGGCCGAGGGCACGCCUGCCUGGGUGUCAUGC